UAUCUAACUCGAGUGAGCGAAUGGUGUU
rnacentral:piRNA from 1 species